AACGAACGCUGGCGGCAGGCUUAACACAUGCAAGUCGAACGCACCUUUCGGGGUGAGUGGCAGACGGGUGAGUAACGCGUGGGAAUCUACCCUUCUCUACGGGAUAGCUCCGGGAAACUGGAAUUAAUACCGUAUACGUCCUGAGGGAGAAAGAUUUAUCGGGGAAGGAUGAGCCCGCGUUGGAUUAGCUAGUUGGUGGGGUAAAGGCCUACCAAGCGACGAUCCAUAGCUGGUCUAAGAGGAUGAUCAGCCACAUUGGGACUGAGACACGGCCCAAACUCCUACGGGAGGCAGCAGUGGGGAAUAUUGGACAAUGGGCGCAAGCCUGAUCCAGCCAUGCCGCGUGAGUGAUGAAGGCCCUAGGGUUGUAAAGCUCUUUCAGUGGGGACGAUAAUGACGGUACCCACAGAAGAAGCCCCGGCUAACUUCGUG
rnacentral:rRNA from 1 species